UUACCCACGUUGAUCCAGGGAAAAGUUACCCUGAGGCUUGAUACAGGUUUCCAAAUUCAGUUUAACUAAAUUGAGGACCCGGGGAUCUGGUUUGGAGGAUGUUCUAACCAAGGCAGGAGUGCGAUCGAGCCUGGGAUCAUCUUCAGUUGACUUGUGAGGGCC